UACGUAGGAUGCGAGCGUUAUCCGGAAUUACUGGGUGUAAAGGGAGCGCAGGCGGGACUGCAAGUUGGAUGUGAAAUGCCGCAGCUUAACUGCGGAGCUGCAUCCAAAACUGUAGUUCUUGAGUGGAGUAGAGGCAAGCGGAAUUCCGAGUGUAGCGGUGAAAUGCGUAGAUAUUCGGAGGAACACCAGUGGCGAAGGCGGCUUGCUGGGCUCUAACUGACGCUGAGGCUCGAAAGUGCGGGGAGCAAACAGG
rnacentral:rRNA from 1 species